GCGCGGGGCGCGGGCGCGAGCGGCGCGCGGGGAGGCUCUUUGUUCUGUAAUCCCAGUAAGAUUGCCAGCCAUUCGCCCCGGCCCUAAUCCCAGCCCCGCGCAACACCACCCUCCAUUGGCUGCCAUUUACAUACGGGAUUAGCCCGCCCGCCCCGCGCCCAGCGCCCCGGCCCGGGCACCGCGCACCCCCCUUCUCUCCCCGGCCAGGCCUGCGAGACGGCGCCCUGAAGCUCCGGGCGCCAGGGAAAGAGAGAAACUAGAAGCCACGACUGUAGAUAAUAAGUCUAGCAGCUCAUUUGAAAACCCAAACUGUGGUCUAUCAUCAGUAGAGAACAGAGAAUGAUCACAUUCCUCAUCUGCUAAGAGCUGUACAUCUACCCAGGACAAGAAUGUGUGGUGCCUGUUGAAGACCCUUAAUAUAGACCCUCGGACAUGUCAAAAGUGAAAGAAGAAGAAACUGCCAAUCCAUCCCCAUAACAAAAAGAAAUGAAAAAGAAAAGGAAGAACCCAGCAAGUAAUGCAACUUUCAUAUAUUAAUUUAAGAAAAAUUACACAGAUAAUUGUAUUAACUAGUUUUUUCCAGGUAAAUAUUAAAAUAUAGUUGAUUCAAAUUAUGACCAAGGAUUAAAUUUAUAAAGUCACCACAAAUUCUGAAUUAGUUGAUAAUGAACUUGUGUUUCUAAGAGAAAUAUAAAAUUCAAAUUUUAGGAAUCCCUAUACUUGACAUUUUUGUGAACUGAUUAGCACACAAACUUGUUUUAUGAAUAUUACUUUUUCAAGAUACUUGAUGUAUAUCUUUGAUGUGUAAAUACUGAUGUCAUACCUAAGUGCACUAUGAUUCAUUGUUGAAUAUACCUAACUCAACAAAAUAAUUUGUUAUACAACAUAUCAAGACAUUCUCAUAUUUUAGUAACACUAGACAAGAGUAUAACUCAGUAAUUUUUAGUAUUAUAAUCACUAGCAAAAAAUGCACCAUUAUAUACAUCAUGCCACUGGAUGGAGAAGACAAAGGCACUUGUUUACAGUGUAAAUGUUUGAAAGAUGGUAGAACAUUAUCUUUGUCUUUGCUAGGCAUGUGUACCUCUAGUGACUGAAAUUUUGAUUUCAAGCUUACAAAAAUAUUAUCUAUUAUGUCCACCCUUUUGACUUGACCGAUUCUGUUCUGUUAUGUCACAUUUGGUUUUACUCUCUUCCAAAAAAGCAAUAAGAACCGUGGGAGCAAUGAAACCCAAAAUGUGCAAGAGUCACUGUACAAAAGAGAGGAAAAGAAAGUGCUCUAAACUAUAUAACUGCAUGUAUAUUUAAAUGUAUAAGAUAGAAAAUGAUAUCACAGAGUUUUAUUGGAUCAUUGAACAGAACUGUUUGCAGUAUCAUUGUUGGAAUGUCCACUCUACAAGCUUUAAUUUUGUGACUUGAACAAUUAUGUCUAAGAUGGCAAUAUGUAAUCCAUUCACUAGUGAUUUCCUACUGCGCAUUUUUUUCUUCUGUAAAUCUGUAUAACUUGUACCCCUUCACUGUUUUUUUUUCUUUCUUUUCUUUUCUCCUUAAAUAAAAAUAAAAAAAAAAUUUUAGUGAUUGUGCACACAUUUAAAGGAAAACAUUUGUUUUUUCAAGUAAGCUACAAAUGUGCUUUAAGAGAUUUCUAAUAAAUAGGUCAACAAUGAUUACUGCACCCAGAAAAGUGAUACAUAAAAUGAUCAAUUGCUACUGAAGUGCUAUGGGUUUGAAUGUCCCUCCUUUAAAAUUCCAGCAUUGUUAUUAUGAUAGUAUUAAGAGGUAGAUCCUUUAGAGAGUGAGAGCUUUCACCUCAUGAAGUUUUUACAAUCUUACAAAAGAGGCUUCCUUUAGCUUUUAGUUUGCUUGCAUUUCUGUUUUCUUUUUGUGAGAUAAAUAUUUCGUCUAAAUAUGAAUUGUCAAUACUUUUGACAUUUCUGCCUUGAUUUUAGUGAGAUGCAUGAAGGAAGGCCUCACCCAUCCAGUGUGUGCUUUUGGAUACUAGCCUUCUCAAUAUUCAGGACUGUGAGAAAUAAAGUUCUGUUCUUACAAGUUA